UUAUAGAAGAAAAUUCAUUGAAGCUGC
rnacentral:piRNA from 1 species